rnacentral:rRNA from 1 species
UGUUAAGUUAGUGGCGGACGGGUGAGUAACGCGUGGGUAACCUGCCUUAUACAGGGGGAUAACACUUAGAAAUAGGUGCUAAUACCGCAUAAGCGCACGGGGCUGCAUGGCCCAGUGUGAAAAACUCCGGUGGUAUAAGAUGGACCCGCGUCUGAUUAGCUUGUUGGCGGGGUAACGGCCCACCAAGGCGACGAUCAGUAGCCGGCCUGAGAGGGUGGACGGCCACAUUGGGACUGAGACACGGCCCAAACUCCUACGGAAGGCAGCAG